rnacentral:lncRNA from 1 species
UGAGCCUAUCAUCAUAUUACCAGUGUAACCAUUACCAUGACUUACACACAAGCUUUAUUGUAGGAUGUCAUUGUAAAUAACAAUUUGUUCUUAACUGACUUGCUUAGUUAAAUAAAAUAUAAAAAUAUUCUACAUUUUAGGGCCUUGCUUUACGAUACAUUGUAAUAACAUACAGUUUUACUAUGAGUUAAAGUUCAUGCAUUGUCUAGUCCCUUUUAGAAUCUGAUGGUGGAAGACUUACUCUCGUCUCUAACAUGUAGGCUCAACAUUUCCGAAAGUCCCAUUACAAGGCAGAAUUGGGAUCCCAGCUGUGGCGGCCAGUCGCUCUGCACCCUCCAGGGUCAUGAAGGGGCCAUCUACAGCACACUGUGGUCUCCGCAUCGAAUACAGUUACACUUCACUUGGUCAUUAAUGCUUCAGAUAUUAAAUGAGUUAAAGUAGCAUUUAAAUUCUCUAGCUUGAUCAGGUAAAGAUGAAUUGUAAUGCCUCGUCAUCACCUCAUGGUGUCACUAAAGCUCUAGUUCUGAUACACAGGUCAUUGCGCUCUGCCUCGGAAGCGUAGUGUACAGUUUCUGCUAAUCAGUAGACAUGUAGCCUUUCAUAGUAAGUAUUUUCAUAUUGUUCGAUUAUGAAUUAUAGUGUAGAGAAUAUAGUAACUUAUGCUUCUAAAAAGUUUAAGGCCUAAACUCAUUAAACAGAGUUAGGGAAAUCUGCUUUUAGUUUAUUUUCACCCAAUGUAUGGAAAAAUCUACAGAGUUCCCUACCACUAGAUGUACUGGUGCCUCUCAGGUAGUUAAAAUUGUUGAUUGGGGACCACUUUUCAGAGGAAUGUGAUUGUUUCUCUUGAUUGUGUUUUGUCAUUUUGUUAAUUUGUAUUAUGUUUUGUGAAUUGUGUAUAUUCAGGGCUCCCUUGUAGAAGAGACCUUAUUCUCAAUGGGACUGAAAUAAAAAGGACUUACCUGCAUUUAUUGUGAGUGCUUAUCUCAAUCAGUUAUCUGGAACAUGUGAC